rnacentral:rRNA from 1 species
AUUGAACGCUGGCGGCAUGCCUUACACAUGCAAGUCGAACGGCAGCACGGGAGCAAUCCUGGUGGCGAGUGGCGAACGGGUGAGUAAUAUAUCGGAACGUGCCCAGUAGUGGGGGAUAACUGCUCGAAAGAGCAGCUAAUACCGCAUACGACCUGAGGGUGAAAGCGGGGGAUCGCAAGACCUCGCGCUAUUGGAGCGGCCGAUAUCAGAUUAGCUAGUUGGUGGGGUAAAGGCCUACCAAGGCAACGAUCUGUAGUUGGUCUGAGAGGACGACCAGCCACACUGGGACUGAGACACGGCCCAGACUCCUACGGGAGGCAGCAGUGGGGAAUUUUGGACAAUGGGCGCAAGCCUGAUCCAGCAAUGCCGCGUGCAGGAAGAAGGCCUUCGGGUUGUAAACUAGCUUUGUCAGGGAAGGAAAUACCUCUGGGCGUAAUAUCCGGGGGACGUGACGGUACC